GAUAAACGCUGGCGGCGCACAUAAGACAUGCAAGUUGAACGGACUUAAUCGAACUAUUUAUAUUUUGAAGCGGUUAGUGGCGGACUGGUGAGUAACGCGUAAGGAACCUGCCUAUUAGAGGGGAAUAACAGUGAGAAAUCAUUGCUAAUACCGCAUAUGCCAUAGAUAUCACAUGAUAACAGUGGGAAAGGAGCAAUCCGCUAAUAGAUGGCCUUGCGUCUGAUUAGAUAGUUGGUGGGGUAACGGCCUACCAAGUCGACGAUCAGUAGCCGGACUGAGAGGUUGAACGGGCAAAUUGGGACUUAGAUACGGCCCAGACUCCUACGGGAGGGAGCAGGCGGGAAUAUUGCGAAAUGGAGGAAACUCUGACGCAGUGACGCCGCGUAUAGGAAGAAGGUUCUCGGAUUGUAAACUAUUGUCGUUAGGGAAGAGAAAGGACAGUACCUAAGGAGGAAGCUCCGGCUAACUACGUG
rnacentral:rRNA from 1 species